rnacentral:lncRNA from 1 species
AUCAGGCAAGGGGUUCCAGGCAGUCAGUUCCUGAAUGAAGCUUGAUCCCAAGUGUUGACUGAUUGCUCUCUUUCUCCUUAUCUUACAAGUAAGAACAAGGCCAAAGGAAAAGACAGAGAAAAAGCAUGAUAUGGGAUACUCUUGCUUUUAACCCUGAUGAUAUGAGAUACUCUUGCUCUGGUGUGGCUUGAUGCUAAAAUUAACUUAACACACAAAUUAAA